rnacentral:rRNA from 1 species
AAAACAUUUCUUUUUUAUAAAAAUAUUAAGUAGACUCUGCCCAAUGAUUAUUUUAAUGGCUGCAGUAUAUUAACUGUACAAAGGUAGCAUAAUAAUUUGGUUUUUAAAUGGAAUCUUGAAUGAAAGAGGUGAUGAAAUAUAUACUUUAUUAAAUUAAAAUUUUGAAUUUAAAUUUAAAGUAAAAAUGCUUUAAUAGGUUAACGGGACGAGAAGACCCUAUAGAAUUUUAUAUAAUUUAAAUUAAUAAAAUAAUAAUUUUUAAUUUAAGUAAUAUUUAUUUGGGAGGAAUGUUAAAUUAAAAAACUUUAAUUUAUGGAUACAUUGAUUUAUGAAUUUUUAUGAUUUUAAAGUUAAUUAUAAGAUAAAAUUACCUUAGGGAUAACAGCGUAAUAUUUUUUUAUAGUUCUUAUUGAAAAAGAUGUUU